GGGCGCUCAUGCCAAGGUGGCGAGGCCGGCUCCAAACCGACCUGUGGCGGGUUCGAUUCCCGCAGCGUUCGCCA
rnacentral:tRNA from 1 species